UAGGGAAUAUUGGUUAAUGUGCGAAAGCGCGAACCAGCAACGCAGCGUGUGCGAUGAAGGCCUUCGGGUCGUAAAGCACUUUUUGCAGGGAAGAGGAAGGACGGUACCUGCAGAAUAAGUCUCGGCUAACUACGUGCCAGCAGCCGCGGUGAAACGUAGGAGACGAGCGUUAUCCGGAUUUACUGGGCGUAAAGCGCGUGCAGGCGGCAUGGCAAGUUGGAUGUGAAAGCUCCCGGCUUAAUUGGGAGAGGUCGUUCAAUACUGCCAGGCUUGAGAGUGGUAGAGGGAAGCGGAAUUCCGGGUGUAGUGGUGAAAUGCGUAGAUAUCCGGAGGAACACCAGUGGCGAAAGCGGCUUCCUGGCCCAUUUCUGACGCUCAGACGCGAAAGCUAGGGUAGCAAACGG
rnacentral:rRNA from 1 species